ACCUGGUUGAUCCUGCCAGUAGUCAUAUGCUUGUCUCGCAGAUUAAGCCAUGCAUGUCUAAGUGUAAAUACUUUACAGUAAAACUGCGGAUGGCCCAUUACAACAGUUAUUGUUUGCUUGGAGCAUACCUCUACGGAUAUCCGUGGAAAUUCUACAGUUAAUACGUACCAUACUAAUUUUAUUAGUAUGUUGCAUAUUACUGUGAACGUUCAACAGGCUUGCCUGUUAACUAUGAACAAUUUUAUGCAUGAAUCGCUUCGGCGAAAGUCCAUCAAAGUUUCUGACCCAUCAGGUUCCGACGGUAAGGUAUUGGCUUACCGUGCCGAUAACGGGUAACGGGGGAUUAGGGUUCGAUCCCGGAGAGGGAGCUUGAGAGAUAGCUACCACAUCUAAGGAAGGCAGCAGGCGCGCAAAUUACCUAUCCCUGACUCAGGGAGGUAGUAAACAGCAAUACUGACGCAUGAUUUUAAUCGUGCGAUCGGGAAUGGAUGGUUUCUAAACAAAACCAUGAAAACCAUUAGAGGAAAAGUCUGGUGCCAGCACCCGCGGUAAUACCAGCUCUAAUAGCGUAUAUUAUUAAUGUUGCAGUUGAAACGUUCGUAGUCGAUCCUUAUCUGCUACAGUUUUAUGUUAUUUUCAAUAGCAUAUCUCUUCAGCGGAAAUUGCAUGGAUCCUUACAUGUUUCAUGUAAGGUUUUUCAUGUUUUACUUUGAGUGAAUCGGCGUGUUCCACGCAGGCAAUCUGCCUUGAACGAUUUACCAUAGUAUAAGGACAGUAUGGAAAUAUCUCCUUGUUCGUUUGAAGAUACUUUCGAUACGUAAAAGAACGGUUGAGGGCAUUCGUAUUCAACUGCUAGAGGUGAAAUUCUUUGAUUAGUUGAGGACGAACCAUUGCGAAAGCAUCUGCCCAGGACGUUUCUUUUGAUCAAGAACGAAAGUUAGGUGAUCGAAGAUGAUUAGAUACCGUUGUAGUCCUAACUAUAAACUUUACUAUCCAAGAAUUGGAUUGGUGACUUUACGCCUCUCCAGUACUUUCUGAGAAAUCAUAAGUCUUUGAGUUCUGGGGGGAGUAUAGUUGUAAGGCUGAAACUUAAAGGAAUUGACGGAAGGGCACCACCAGGAGUGGAACUUGCGGCUUAAUUUGACUCAACACGGAAAACCUUACGAGGAUAAGACAAACGAAGGAUUGACAGAUUGAUCGCUCUUUCUUGAUUGUUUGGGUGGUGGUGCAUGGCCGUUCUUAGUUCGUGGAUUAAUUUGUCUGGUUAAUUCCGUUAACGAACGAGACCUUAACUUGCUAAUUAGAAUUGUAGAUUUAUCUACUAUUCUGUUAGAAGGACCGUGUGUUCCUAACACAAGGAAGCGUGAGGCAAUAACAGGUCUGUGAUGCCCUUAGAUAUCCUCGGCAGCACGCGUGUUACAAUGAUGUGUAUAAAAUGUUUACUAUUCGAAAGAAUUGUGCAAUCAUUAAUACACAUCAACCCAGGAAUUGUUUGUUGGAACGUCAAACAUCAACUAGGAAUUCCUAGUAAACGCGUAUCAUUAGUUCGCGUUGAUUACGUCCCUGCCCUUUGUACACACCGCCUGUCGCAUCUAUUGAUUAGGUUGUAUCAUGAGUUAGGCGGA
rnacentral:rRNA from 1 species